rnacentral:rRNA from 1 species
UACGUACGAGGCGAGCGUUAUCCGGAAUUACUGGGCGUAAAGCGCGCGCAGGCGGACCAUUAAGUUGGGCGUGAAAUCUCCCGGCCUAACUGGGAGGGGUCGCCCAAGACUGGUGGUCUUGAGGACAGCAGAGGUGGGUGGAAUUCCUGGUGUAGUGGUGAAAUGCGUAGAGAUCAGGAGGAAUACCGAUGGCGAAGGCAGGUCUCUGGGCUGACACUGACGCUCAUGCACGAAAGCGUGGGGAGCAAACAGG